rnacentral:rRNA from 1 species
AGCGAACGCUGGCGGCAGGCCUAACACAUGCAAGUCGAACGGAUCCUUCGGGAUUAGUGGCGGACGGGUGAGUAACACGUGGGAACGUGCCCUUUGGUUCGGAACAACUCAGGGAAACUUGAGCUAAUACCGGAUGUGCCCUUCGGGGGAAAGAUUUAUCGCCAUUGGAGCGGCCCGCGUCUGAUUAGCUAGUUGGUGAGGUAACGGCCCACCAAGGCGACGAUCAGUAGCUGGUUUGAGAGGAUGAUCAGCCACACUGGGACUGAGACACGGCCCAGACUCCUACGGGAGGCAGCAGUGGGGAAUCUUGCGCAAUGGGCGAAAGCCUGACGCAGCCAUGCCGCGUGAAUGAUGAAGGUCUUAGGAUUGUAAAAUUCUUUCAGCGGGGACGAUAAUGACGGUACCCGCAGAAGAAGCUCCGGCUAACUUCGUG